AGGAAUAUUGGUCAAUGGACGCGAGUCUGAACCAGCCAAGUAGCGUGAAGGAUGACUGCCCUAUGGGUUGUAAACUUCUUUUAUAUGGGAAUAAAGUGGUCCACGUGUGGAUUUUUGUAUGUACCAUAUGAAUAAGGAUCGGCUAACUCCGUGCCAGCAGCCGCGGUAAUACGGAGGAUCCGAGCGUUAUCCGGAUUUAUUGGGUUUAAAGAGAGCGUAGGCGGAUUGUUAAGUCAGUUGUGAAAGUUUGCGGCUCAACCGUAAAAUUGCAGUUGAUACUGGCAGUCUUGAGUGCAGUAGAGGUGGGCGGAAUUCGUGGUGUAGCGGUGAAAUGCUUAGAUAUCACGAAGAACUCCGAUUGCGAAGGCAGCUCACUGGAGUGUAACUGACGCUGAUGCUCGAAAGUGUGGGUAUCAAACAGGAUUAGAUACCCUGGUAGUCCACACAGUAAACGAUGAAUACUCGCUGUUUGCGAUAUACAGUAAGCGGCCAAGCGAAAGCAUUAAGUAUUCCACCUGGGGAGUACGCCGGCAACGGUGAAACUCAAAGGAAUUGACGGGGGCCCGCACAAGCGGAGGAACAUGUGGUUUAAUUCGAUGAUACGCGAGGAACCUUACCCGGGCUUAAAUUGCAAAUGAAUUAUGGGGAAACCCAUACGCCGCAAGGCAUUUGUGAAGGUGCUGCAUGGUUGUCGUCAGCUCGUGCCGUGAGGUGUCGGCUUAAGUGCCAUAACGAGCGCAACCCUUAUCUUCAGUUACUAACAGGUCAUGCUGAGGACUCUGGAGAGACUGCCGUCGUAAGAUGUGAGGAAGGUGGGGAUGACGUCAAAUCAGCACGGCCCUUACGUCCGGGGCUACACACGUGUUACAAUGGGGGGUACAGAAGGCCGCUACCUGGUGACAGGAUGCCAAUCCCAAAAACCUCUCUCAGUUCGGAUCGAAGUCUGCAACCCGACUUCGUGAAGCUGGAUUCGCUAGUAAUCGCGCAUCAGCCAUGGCGCGGUGAAUACGUUCCCG
rnacentral:rRNA from 1 species